GUGAAUCAUCAAAUUUUUGAACGCAAAUUGCACUCUCUUCUGAUCCUAUGAGUAUGUCAGGUUGAGCCUCAAAAAAAUCAACAUAGGCGCUGUUGCGCGGUGACAUUGUUCCGAAAUGGGGUCAUCUUAUAUCUUUUUGUUUUAAGCGGCUUAAAAUUUUCUCUACGAUUUCACGAAUGUUUCUAAGAUUUACUUACACGUUUAAGGUAUCGAUCUUUAUUAGACGUUUCCUUUUCAUCU
rnacentral:misc_RNA from 1 species